AAAAAAAAAAUAGAGGAAAUCGAGUGCGGGCGGUGUUUCUUUUUCCCGUUCCGCUCGGCGUCGGCUCCGACUCCGACGCCCGCAGCUGCCUGCGCCGAUCCCCAUCCAUCCCUCCCGCGAGUAAUGGCGCCGUCGGUUGUCCCUAUGCUUCCGCCGCAUUCUGGUUUUCAGGACCAAAAUAAUGGGGGAGAUUAGUUUAUGGUCUUCAAAAUCAUGCUGAAAACAUGUUGUAAAAUUUGAGAUGUCUCUGAAGUUUAGUUGAAUAAUUAUGCAUAUCCUGCAUGCUGCCAUAUGCUGAGUGAGGUAUUGACUGAACACAA